rnacentral:rRNA from 1 species
UAGCCGUAAACGAUACUCGCUAGGUGUCGGCCACGGUGCGACCGUUGUCGGUGCCGUAGGGAAGCCGUGAAGCGAGCCACCUGGGAAGUACGGCCGCAAGGCUGAAACUUAAAGGAAUUGGCGGGGGAGCACAACAACGGGUGGAGCCUGCGGUUUAAUUGGAUUCAACGCCGGAAAUCUUACCGGGACCGACAGCAACAUGAAGGCCAAGCUGAAGACUUUGCCGGAUUAGCUGAGAGGAGGUGCAUGGCGUAGUCGUGU